CUCUGGCUCCUUUGAGCGAUGGGUAAAAAGGGAGGUUACUUUCACGAGAUUCGUGGGAACCAAGGGCUGAAAGGAGAGAAAGUUUUCAUCACUAAGUGACAUGGAAGUUGACGUGAGAAAUUAAGUCUUCUAAACAUUUGGAUGCUGUGAAAAGAUGUCAGCACAGAGCAACACAUCAGAAUGCUCUGUGCACAUGUGUAUGAGAGAGAGAAAGGGGGUGG